rnacentral:rRNA from 1 species
CCUACGGGAGGCAGCAGUGGGGAAUAUUGGACAAUGGUCGGAAGACUGACCCAGCCAUGCCGCGUGCAGGAAGAAGGCGUUAUGCGUUGUAAACUGCUUUUAUCUGGGAAGAAAAAGCCCCUGCGGGGGAAAUUGCCGGUACCAGAUGAAUAAGCACCGGCUAACUCCGUGCCAGCAGCCGCGGUAAU